rnacentral:lncRNA from 1 species
UCAAUAAACUCCUUCACUUAUUAUUUUAGGGUGUGUCAGUCUAAAAAAACUAACAGGGAAUUUGUUUGAAGAAGCCUCUGUUCGAUACAUUUUUAGUCAAAGUGUUUACUAUAGCAGCAAUAAAACGUUAUUUUACUGUAUAUAAAUCUGCGGAGAAAAUUUACAUUAAUAUUUUUAGUCUGCAUUACAUUCUACUUAUCUUGAUCAAAUGAAUUGUAGUUCCACAAUUUCUUCAAAUUGUUAAAAAAAGCAUCAACCAUUAAUUUUUACAGAGUAUUUACUUCAAUACCAUUACUAAACAUGCAAAGGACCUGAAAGGUUUUUCUUAAUUAGUCCAAUCAAAGUUUACCUGAUAUAACUAAUAUGUAAACUUUGUUAAGACAAAAUGAAAAUCUCUCUGAUUGGGAGAUGGAUUCUGAUCAUCCCUACACUACCAGUUUCAAGCUUAGUAUUAACGGAUACAAUGGUUUCUCAAGCUGUUUCAGAUAAAAGAAAGUUGAGAAAAUUCAUAAAAAUUUUGUUACUUUACAUAUUUUUGUUUUAGUAUCGGUUCUCCCUGCGGUUGUUCGUCUAGGAGUGUUAAAUGAUUCCAUUUUCUCCUUGUAUGGAAAGGAUGUUGACUUGACCCAUUGUUCUGGUAUUUCAGGAAUAUCAAUGGAAAUUAUAGAAAUCAUAAAAGAGAGGUUGGGUUGGAAUAUAACUUGUAUUAACCCGAAAUCAAAUACAUUUGGUAUGAAGAUAAAUGGGUCUUGGAAUGGAAUACUUGGGAGUCUGGAAAGAAGAGAAAUUGAUUUGGCAGCUAUAUCAUUAACAAUAACACCUGAAAGAAAUCAAGAUUUUCAGUUCUUGCAUCCAAUUGGGGAGGAUGGAAUUUACUUAGUAUCAAGAAUAUCUAAAACCCAGAAAACUCGACAUUUGUUUGGAAUUAUAUUUGGAGGAAUUGCUUCAGAUGUCUGGAUAUCUCUUACCAUAUACAUUUUAAUAACAGGAACUUUGGUUUAUCAUAAACAUUGAAUUAAUUCCAUUUUAACAUGCUUUGCAUACAUCAAUUUCCCUGUAAGUCAUUAGAUCUUGACAUCCAUUAUUUGCUUUAUAACUAAAUACAACAUUUGAUCUGUCAAACCUGGCCCUAAACGUAUAGGCCACUAAGCCCAAAGUCUAUUCUAACCACAGUGCCUAGCCCCCCUUUUUUAACAACAAUCCAACGUGUAGAGUUGUGACCUGUAAUUAGUUUUAUUAGAUAAAUAGUAUAUAUAAGAUUAAAAAAAAUAGAGAAAAUAUCAUGAUUUAUGAAGAAAAGUUUAAAUUAUAAUUAUAGCUAUUAAAUGACAAUGUAGUAAGUUACUAUAGAAAAAUUAUAAUAGAGAAGAUGUCAAUGAACCAUUUCAAAAGGUUAAAAUUACUUAAAGGAACAAAUUCCUUCUCAGACAUAUGAUAAAUAUUUUUAACUUUAAGAUAAUAUAAUACAUUUAGGAAUUCUCUUUACAUGGAUUAAGUCUAGAGAAAGUGGAAACCCCUGUAUCACCCUGUUAGAUGUCUCUGAGAACUGUUACAAUUUCUUUAUGGCGAGUGCCUGGCAGAUUCCUCUUAUCAAUCAACCAAUUUCAACCAGCAACAAGAUUUUAGUUCUGAGUAGUUUGUUUCUUGGUAUGAUUUUGUUUAAUACCUAUACAGCUGUCCUUACAUCAAAUGCGGUUGAAAAUCAUAAAGAUGUUGAAAUAAACACCUUGGAAGAAGCACUAGAAGGAAACUACAAGAUUGGAACUUUUCCUGGCGGAUUUGGCAGGAUUUUAUGAUCAUUUUAGAGUUGAACCAUUUCCACAUAGUUCAUAAAAAUUUUAGUAUAGCAAAAUGAUUAUCUCACUCAAACAUACCGUGAAUUGUAAAAAAUGCAUAAAAAAGUGAUUACAAAAUUGUUGAAAAACAAAAUAUUUUAAACUGAAAGAAUUUUUUUAACCAAGUUUAAAGAGGCUACAUUAUGCCACCUAUCAUCCAAAACUGUUAUGUUUUUUAAACUUAUAGUGAA